rfam:Tropilaelaps mercedesae isolate Wuxi-XJTLT scaffold0000002303, whole genome shotgun sequence.
CAAACGGCCCUUUUCAGGGCCACCACACUCUAGUAGAUCGAACCCUU